CUAAGUUUGAUGGCGACCGGCGCACGGGUGAGUAACACGUAUCCAACCUGCCGAUGACUCGGGGAUAGCCUUUCGAAAGAAAGAUUAAUACCCGAUGGCAUAGUUCUUCCGCAUGGUAGAACUAUUAAAGAAUUUCGGUCAUCGAGUGGGGAUGCGUUCCAUUAGGUUGUUGGCGGGGUAACGGCCCACCAAACCUUCGAUGGAUAGGGGUUCUGAGAGGAAGGUCCCCCACAUUGGAACUGAGACACGGUCCAAACUCCUACGGGAGGCAGCAUG
rnacentral:rRNA from 1 species